AUAAAGUCACUGGGCGCAAGCUCGGUGAUGAAAGGGGGCCUCUGCAUAGCAAGCUCCUGCCUGGGGAGGGGCUCGCGGCCCAUCAGCUAGUUGGUGGGGUAACGGCCCACCAAGGCUAUGACGGGUAGCCGGCCUGAGAGGGUGGUCGGCCACACGGGCACUGAGACACGGGCCCGACUCCUACGGGAGGCAGCAGUGGGGAAUCUUGGGCAAUGGGCGAAAGCCUGACCCAGCGACGCCGCGUGGGGGAAGAAGGCCUUCGGGUCGUAAACCCCUGUUCUGGGGGAAGAACCCUGAAUGGGUUAAGAGCCCAUUCAGGCUGACGGUACCCCAGGAGCAAGCCACGGCUAACUGCGUGCCAGCAGCCGCGGUAAUACGCAGGUGGCAAGCGUUGCCCGGAAUCACUGGGCGUAAAGGGUGCGUAGGCGGCAAGGCAAGUCGCAGGUCAAAGCCCGGGGCUCAACCCCGGAAGGGCCUGCGAUACUGUUUUGCUUGAGGGCCGGAGAGGUUGGCGGAAUUCCCGGUGUAGGGGUGAAAUCCGUAGAUAUCGGGAGGAACACCGGUGGGGAAGCCGGCCAGCUGGACGGUCCCCGACGCUGAGGCACGAAAGCGUGGGGAGAAAACCGGAUUAGAUACCCGGGUAGUCCACGCCGUAAACGAUGGGUGCUAGGUCUGGGGAGGAA
rnacentral:rRNA from 1 species